AAGUUAUUAAGGGCGCAUGGUGGAUGCCUUGGCACUAGGAGCCGAUGAAGGACGGGACUAACACCGAUAUGCUUCGGGGAGCUGUAAGUAAGCUUUGAUCCGGAGAUUUCC
rnacentral:rRNA from 1 species